UACGUAGGGUGCUAGCGUUGUCCGGAAUUAUUGGGCGUAAAGGGCUCGUAGGCGGUUUGUCGCGUCGGGCGUGAAAUCAUCUGGCUUAACUGGGUGCUUGCUUUCGAUACGGGCAGACUAGAGGUAUGCAGGGGAGAACGGAAUUCCUGGUGUAGCGGUGAAAUGCGCAGAUAUCAGGAGGAACACCGGUGGCGAAGGCGGUUCUCUGGGCAUGAUCUGACGCUGAGGAGCGAAAGUGUGGGGAGCGAACAGG
rnacentral:rRNA from 1 species